GAAAGAAAGAACAACAGAAAAGCAACAUUAAACUCAGUCAAGGGCAGAAAAGUUAAAAGGAGAAGAUUUAAAAAUUUGCUAGAAGAGAAAAAAGGGGAAGAUAGAGGAAAGGUCACAGAUCUGGUGAAUAACAAUCUCCAAUUAACAUGCAAACAAUCAUGACGCACUAAUGCUCACAUUACAAAAUAAUCAAGCUUCAACCUUAAAUCUUGUUCUUGUUUUGAAAACUGUAUAACUGACAAGGAAUUUUGAACUUAAAGCCCUCAAGAUUUUUCAAGUGUAUACUUCAAUGCAAAUUCAAGACUACACAAGAGUUCAAUAUUCUCAACAGAGAUCCUUACAUAAAAAUAGCAACCAAU
rnacentral:misc_RNA from 1 species